GGGCCAUAGCUCAACAGCAGAGCAUCUGCUUUGCAUGCAGAAGCUCCCAGGUUCAAUCCCUGGCAUUUCCA